rnacentral:rRNA from 1 species
CCAGCAGCCGCGGUAAUUCCAGCUCCAAUAGCGUAUAUUAAAGUUGUUGCGGUUAAAAAGCUCGUAGUUGAAUUUCUGCCAAGGACGACCUACCCACCUUAGGGUGCGUGUCAGCGUUGACCGAGGCAUCCUCCCAGUUACAGGCACAUUUAAUCGUGUGUCUCGUUCUGGGACUUUUACUUUGAGGAAAUUAGAGUGUUUCAAGCAGGCGUUUGCCUUGAAUAUUUUAGCAUGGAAUAAUAAUUUAGGACUUCGGUUCUAUUUUGUUGGUUUCUAGAACUGAAGUAAUGAUUAAUAGGGACAGUCGGGGGCAUUCGUACUCAACAGUCAGAGGUGAAAUUCUUGGAUUUGUUGGAGACGAACUACUGCGAAAGCAUUUGCCAAGGAUGUUUUCAUUGAUCAAGAACGAAAGU